AUUUGCCCAGCCCUAUUGACAUUGUGGACGAGAUCGUGGUGACUGAUCCUGCCGUCAUCUUAACAACCCCUGCUAUACUUAUAGGAGCACACAACAUUUCAUAAAAGAUUGUCCCCAAAGGCCCCAGGAUAUUGUGAAGCCAGUCACACAAGGAAGAGUCUACCAUCUUGAUGAGCCCAACGCCAUUACUACACCAGCUAUCACUCAGGGUACAUUUUUUAUUUACAAUUCUAUUGCUUGUACCUUCAUUGAUACUAGUGCUUAUCAUUCAUUUAUAUCUUGUAAAUUUGCUAGGAACUUAGCCAUUAAACAAAAACCAUUAGGACAAGUCUUAAUAAUAGAAACACCCUCUAGAGGGCUUUUGUAAGCAUGCUUUAUUUAUAAAAAUUGUAGGGCCAAUGCUUCGAGUAAGGAAUUAGCCAUAGAUUUAAUAUUU
rnacentral:lncRNA from 1 species